GAUGAACGCUGGCGGCGUGCCUAAUACAUGCAAGUCGAGCGAUCAGACGAGGUGCUUGUUCCUCUGACGUUAGCGGCGGACGGGUGAGUAACACGUGGAUAACCUACCUAUAAGACUGGGAUAACUUCGGGAAACCGGUGCUAAUACCGGAUAACAUCUUUAACCACAUGGUUCAACAGUGAAAGACGGUCUUGCUUUCCCCUAUAGAUGGCUCCGCGCCGCAUUAGCUAGUGGGUAAGGUAACGGCUUACCAAGGCAACGAUGCGUAGCCGACUGGAGAGGGGGAUCGCCAACACUGGAACGGGGACACGGCCCAGACUCCUACGGGGGGCAGCAGUAGGGAAUCUUCCGAAAGGAGCGAAGGCCUGACGGGGCAACGCCGCGGGGGUGAGGAAGGUCUUGGGAUCGAAAAACUCGGUUAUUAGGGAAGAAGAAAUGGGGAAGUAACAAUGCACGACUUGACGGUACCUAAUCAGAAAGCCACGGCUAACUACGUG
rnacentral:rRNA from 1 species